UUUUUAGCAGCUCAGCGGUUGAGCGGACGGCUGUCAACCGUUAGGUACUCGGGUUCAAAUCCCUCCCUAUAGAG